rnacentral:rRNA from 1 species
CCUACGGGAUGCAGCAGUGGGGAAUAUUGCGCAAUGGGCGAAAGCCUGACGCAGCGACGCCGCGUGAGGGAUGAAGGUCUUCGGAUCGUAAACCUCUGUCAGCAGGGAAGAACGGUCACUUUUCUAAUCAUCCGUGAAUUGACGGUCCCUGCAAAGGCAGCACCGGCUAACUCCGUACCAGCAGCCGCGGUAAUACGGAGGGUGCGAGCGUUAAUCGGAAUUACUGGGUGUAAGGAGCUCGUAGGCAGUAUGUCAAGUCAAGGGUGGAAUCCCCGCGCUCAAUGUGGGAACGGCCUUUGAAAGAGGCAAACUGGAGUGUGUGAGAGGAUAGUGAAAGUACAGGUGGAGGAAUGAAAUAAGUAGAUA